rnacentral:rRNA from 1 species
CUGCUGCCUUCCGUAGGAGUCUGGUCCGUGUCUCAGUACCAGUGUGGGGGACCUUCCUCUCAGAACCCCUACGCAUCGUCGCCUCGGUGGGCCGUUACCCCGCCGACUAGCUAAUGCGCCGCAUGCCCAUCCCCCGCCGGAAUCGCUUCCUUUGGCCGCAGACCCAUGCAGGUCCGCGGCGUUACGCGGUAUUAGUCGGGAUUUCUCCCGGUUAUCCCCCUGCGGGGGGCAGGUCGCAUACGUGUUACUCACCCGUGCGCCGGUCGCCGGCA